AGCCCCAUAGUCUAGCGGUCAAGGACACGAGACUCUGGAUCUUGUAACCCAGGUUCGAAUCCUGGUGGGGCUA
rnacentral:tRNA from 1 species